UUCGAGCCGAGAGCCGGGGCCGCGGGGCAGAGGCGGGGGCACCCCUGGGGCCGGGGGGCAGAGCCGGGGGCAGAGCCGGGGCCGCUGUGGCAGAGCCGGGGCCGCGGGGCAGAGGCGGGGGCAGAGGCGGGGGCAGAGCCGGGGCCGCGGGGCAGAGCCGGGGCAGAGGCGGGGGCAGAGCCGGGGGCAGAGCCGGGGCCGCGGGGCAGAGCCGGGGCCGGUGGGGCAGAGCCGGGGCCGCGGGGCAGAGGCAGGGGCAGAGCCGGGGCCGGGGGGCAGAGCCGGGGGCAGAGCCGGGGCAGAGCCGGGGUCGGGGCCGCGGGGGCAGAGCCGGAGGCAGAGCCGGGGCCGCGGGGGCAGAGGCGGGGGCAGAGCCGGGGCCGGGGGUGCAGAGCCGAGGCCGGGGGUGCAGAGCCGGAGCCGGGGGUGCAGAGGCGGGGCCGGGGGAGCAGAGGCGGGGGCAGACCCGGGGCCGGGGGGGCAGAGGCGGGGGCAGAGCUGGGGCCGGGGGGGCGGGGCCGGGGUCGGGGGGGCAGAGCCGGGGCCGCGGGGCAGAGACGGGGGCAGAGCCGGGGCCGGGGGUGCAGAGCCGGGGCCGGGGGUGCAGAGGCGGGGCCGCGGGGGCAGAGCCGGGGGCGGGGCCGGGGGUGCAGAGGCCGGGAGGCCACCUGUCGCCGCCGCCGCCCCUUCCGCACCCUGGUCCCGACCGGCGCCGCCCGCACCGCGGAACUGGGAGGGUCAAGGUGGAGGCCGGGCCGUUUGGGGCGGGUCCUCCCGGGCGCGCUCCCUCCCGGUUCCCAGCGCGUCCCAGGGGAGCCCCGACGACGCAGGAGCCGCUGUCUUACCCUCGGGAGCAGGCCGCGGCCCGCUGGCUUCAGCCCCUGGCCUCCACCCCGUCUCCCAUCCUACUGUCAUUACUGGGCAUUUUUUCAGUUGGCUGCUCUUCCGAAGGGCUUGCAAAGUGUGGAUGAGCGGUUCUCCACCAACACGGAUCCCGCAGCACCUUUUCACAAUAAAUACGCGGUGUUCCAAAAGUCUUACUACAAUUUUAAGCCGUUUAAGACACUGAAAACUAUAAGUCACUGA
rnacentral:lncRNA from 12 species